rnacentral:ncRNA from 2 species
ACAUACUUCUUUAUAUGCCCAUAU